rnacentral:tRNA from 1 species
CGCGGGUUAGAGUUCUGGUGAACUCACUGGUCUCAUAAGCCAGUUUUCCUAGGUCGGUUCGAUUCCGGCACCCGCUACCA